AGCGAACGCUGGCGGCAGGCCUAACACAUGCAAGUCGAACGAAGUCUUCGGACUUAGUGGCGGACGGGUGAGUAACACGUGGGAACGUGCCUUUAGGUUCGGAAUAACUCAGGGAAACUUGUGCUAAUACCGAAUGUGCCCUUCGGGGGAAAGAUUUAUCGCCUUUAGAGCGGCCCGCGUCUGAUUAGCUAGUUGGUGAGGUAAAGGCUCACCAAGGCGACGAUCAGUAGCUGGUCUGAGAGGAUGAUCAGCCACAUUGGGACUGAGACACGGCCCAAACUCCUACGGGAGGCAGCAGUGGGGAAUCUUGCGCAAUGGGCGAAAGCCUGACGCAGCCAUGCCGCGUGAAUUAUGAAGGUCUUAGGAUUGUAAAAUUCUUUCACCGGGGACGAUAAUGACGGUACCCGGAGAAGAAGCCCCGGCUAACUUCGUGCCAGCCGCCGCGGUAAGAC
rnacentral:rRNA from 1 species